rnacentral:misc_RNA from 1 species
AAAACCAACAACUUCUUAACUAUAUCAAUCCCAGCAUCACAAGCUGUGCGAUCCUCCAGACUUUUCUGUCCAGGUGUUGUUAAAGAGAGACCCACAAAGACUGCAAUGGUGAAAAGUGAAUUCACAUUAACUAGACCAUCCAAGGCAGUAACAUGAACACUCGUUGUUGAAACAGAUGAGGACAUUGAGGUGGAUCUUUUUGACAAGUAUUCAGUUGGG